GUAGUGCUUAUGGUUUUGAUCAAAAUUUCUCUUCAUUUUCACUGCUCAUCCUAAUUUUUCUUGGCCAGGAACCAAGAUGAAGAAACAAGGGGGAAAGACUCCAAGGGGAAGGAAAUAGCAGCUGGAAACAGUAGACGAAUCACAAGGCCCCCACUCAGUUUCUUAGCGAUUCUCUACGAACACGGCAUAGCCCUCGACACUUCUUGUCCUGACCAGCUCUGUCAGCAGCUUUAUGAUGGUGUUUUCUUGAAGCCCAACAAACUAAAGUACUUUGUCGAUGAGAAGUCAAACAAGAAUUGCUUCGUGCUAUUCGCAAGAGAACUCACAGUCGUCCAUGGUGACAAUCCUGAUUAUUGGAGAUGGAUGGAAGAUAACGAAACAAGCGGGGAAGACAUUGAAGUGGCUAGGCUAUUGAAGGUAUGGUGGUUAGAGAUCAAAGGCGCUAUCCGAACAAUUAAUCUCUUACCAGGAACUUUGUACGAAAUUGUAUUUAUCAUGAAGAAACUUGACAAGGACUCAAACUUCAAUUUGACUCUUAUAAUCAAACCCCAGCACUUGAAAGCUUUGACACACCGUGCUCCGAAAGUUUGAAAGAAAAGCCUCUGCAAAAUUGGUUUGAGGUCUUGGCAGGUGAGUUCAUGUUUUCGACGCAGUACGUUGGGAACAUGGAAUUCAAACUGGAGAAUACCGGUGGGGACUGGAAGUGUGGACUUGUCGUGAAAUGUGCUAUCGUUCGACCUAAGAAGUAACAACACAUGAAAUUUGGGAUGCUAUCGGGCUUUUAUAUAUGCUUGAUAGAAAACAAGGAUGUCAAGUUAAUGUCUGAUUUGGUUUGUUUAUCUGAAAGUUGAAACUAUUUUCAAUUCUCUGGUGGAGUCUUUUUGUAGAUUUUAUAGAUUACAUUGUGGCACCAAGUUAAACUACAUCAACAUCUUAAUUAUAUUUGCUAGUAGAAAUUAAGAAGAAUGUCUGCCCUGAAGAGAAACAAAAUCAAUCAGUUUGCAGGA